rnacentral:rRNA from 1 species
CAGCAGCCGCGGUAAUGCGUAGGUGGCAAGCGUUGUCCGGAAUUAUUGGGCGUAAAGGGCUCGCAGGCGGUUUCUUAAGUCUGAUGUGAAAGCCCCCGGCUCAACCGGGGAGGGUCGUUGGAAACUGGGAAACUUGAGUGCAGAAGAGGAGAGUGGAAUUCCACGUGUAGCGGUGAAAUGCGUAGAGAUGUGGAGGAACACCAGUGGCGAAGGCGACUCUCUGGUCUGUAACUGACGCUGAGGAGCGAAAGCGUGGGGAGCGAACAGGAUUAGAUACCCCUGUAGUCCCCUGUCUCUUAUA